rnacentral:rRNA from 1 species
UACGUAGGUGGCAAGCGUUGUCCGGAAUUAUUGGGCGUAAAGCGCGCGCAGGCGGUCCUUUAAGUCUGAUGUGAAAGCCCACGGCUCAACCGUGGAGGGUCAUUGGAAACUGGGGGACUUGAGUACAGAAGAGAAGAGUGGAAUUCCACGUGUAGCGGUGAAAUGCGUAGAGAUGUGGAGGAACACCAGUGGCGAAGGCGGUUCUCUGGGACGGUACUGACGCUGAGGCGCGAAAGCGUGGGGAGCAAACAGG